AGCGAACGCUGGCGGCAGGCCUAACACAUGCAAGUCGAACGAACCCUUCGGGGUUAGUGGCGGACGGGUGAGUAACACGUGGGAACGUGCCUUUAGGUUCGGAAUAACUCAGGGAAACUUGUGCUAAUACCGAAUGUGCCCUUGGGGGGAAAGAUUUACCGCCUUUAGAGCGGCCCGCGUCUGAUUAGCUAGUUGGUGAGGUAAUGGCUCACCAAGGCUACGAUCAGUAGUUGGUCUGAGAGGAUGACCAGCCACAUUGGGACUGAGACACGGCCCAAAAUACUACGGGAGGGGGCAGUGGGGAAUCUUGCGCAAUGGGCGAAAGCAUGACGCAGUCAUGCCGCGUGGAUGAUGAAGGUCUUAGGAUUGUAAAAUCCUUUCACCGGUGAAGAUAAUGACUGUAGCCGGAGAAGAAGCCCCGGCUAACUUCGUGCCAGCCGCCGCGGUAAUAC
rnacentral:rRNA from 1 species